rnacentral:rRNA from 1 species
CACGUAGGGUGCGAGCGUUGUCCGGAAUUAUUGGGCGUAAAGAGCUCGUAGGCGGUGUGUCGCGUCGGCCGUGAAAACUUGCAGCUUAACUGUGGGCGUGCGGUCGAUACGGGCAUCACUGGAGUUCGGCAGGGGAGACUGGAAUUCCUGGUGUAGCGGUGAAAUGCGCAGAUAUCAGGAGGAACACCGGUGGCGAAGGCGGGUCUCUGGGCCGUAACUGACGCUGAGGAGCGAAAGCAUGGGGAGCGAACAGG